GGAGAGAUGGCUGAGAGGUUUAAAGCCCCGGUCUUGAAAACCGGUAUAGUAAAGAACUAUCGAGGGUUCGAAUCCCUCUCUCUCCU
rnacentral:tRNA from 3 species